UCUCCCGUAGUAUAGUGGUAUAGUAUGUCGGUUUGUCAGCCUUGCGCUCUCUCACCGAAGACCCGGGUUCAAACCCCGGCGGGGGAG